AGGAAAUGCCAACACCUUGUGUUCUGGUUAACUGCAGACACAUGUUUCCUGAAAGGAAAAUGCCUCAGUGAAUAAAUAAGGUGCUGUGAACGCACAAAAUCCUAAAGAUUCAAAACAAUCCUCAAAAAUCAGAACAUAGGUGCUAUUCUUCUGCAAGAGAUACUAUGUUGGGAGCUUGGAAAGACUCUCUGAAGCACAUAGUGACUGAGCUCAGCGGUAUGAAAGAACCUCCUACUGCAUUCAUACCAAGAACUAACAUUGCCGGCAUAACUGUGAAUGGACUUCAAGGUGUUCAGAGAACACUCACUAAGCUUUGCAGUCUUCUUAUGUUUCUUUGUUUUUCUUGUUCAUCAGAGUUGAUGAACCCCUUAAAAGAAAUUCAAUAUAUC
ensembl:lincRNA uncharacterized LOC110307634